UCCCUGGCAGUCCAGUGGUCAAGACCCGGCAUUUCCAAUGCCAGGGACACAGGUUCAAUCCCUGGCCAGGGAA
rfam:TPA: Bos taurus chromosome 13, whole genome shotgun sequence.